rnacentral:rRNA from 1 species
GAAACCAAAAGGUCGGGUCUUAUGGGCCCAACCUCC